rnacentral:rRNA from 1 species
GACGAACGCUGGCGGCGUGCCUAAUACAUGCAAGUAGGACGCUGAAGGAGGAGCUUGCUUCUCUGGAUGAGUUGCGAGCGGGUGAGUAACGCGUAGGUAACCUGCCUGGUAGCGGGGGAUAACUAUUGGAAACGAUAGCUAAUACCGCAUAAUAGUAGAUGUUGCAUGACAUUUGCUUAAAAGGUGCAAUUGCAUCACUACCAGAUGGACCUGCGUUGUAUUAGCUAGUUGGUGGGGUAACGGCUCACCAAGGCGACGAUACAUAGCCGACCUGAGAGGGUGAUCGGCCACACUGGGACUGAGACACGGCCCAGACUCCUACGGGAGGCAGCAGUAGGGAAUCUUCGGCAAUGGACGGAAGUCUGACCGAGCAACGCCGCGUGAGUGAAGAAGGUUUUCGGAUCGUAAAGCUCUGUUGUAAGAGAAGAACGAGUGUGAGAGUGGAAAGUUCACACUGUGACGGUAUCUUACCAGAAGGGGACGGCUAACUACGUG